GACGAACGCUGGCGGCGGGCUUAACACAUGCAAGUCGAACGGAAAGGCCCUGCUUGUGUGGGGUGCUCGAUUGGCGAACGGGUGAGUAACACGUGAGUAACCUGCCCUUGACUUUGGGAUAACUUCAGGAAACUGGGGCUAAGACCGAUUAGGAGCUCCUGCUACAUGGUGGGGGUUGGAAAGUUUCGGCGGUUGGGGGUGGUCGCGCGGCUUAUCAGCUUGUUGGUGGGGUAGUGGCUUACGAAGGCUUGGACGGGUAGCCGGCCCGAGAGGGUGACCGGCACAAUUGGGACUGAGAUACGGCCGAGAGUAGUACGGGAGGCAGCAGUGGGGAAUAUUGCAUGAUGGGGGGAAGCAUGAUGCAGGAACGCCGCGUGAGGGAUGAUGGCCUUCGGGUUGUAAAUCGUUUUGGCCUGUGCCGAAGCGUGAGUGACGGUACCGGGUAAAGAAGCACCGGCUAACUACGUG
rnacentral:rRNA from 1 species